CUUCCCUCCUUCUAACCGUGGCAACACAUCAUCUUUUUAGUGUUGCCACUGUGGAGUCUUUUCCAGAACGUCCAAGAGUUUGGCUCGUAGAGUAGGCUGUGAGAACCACAAGGAGUCUUCAGGACAUGCUGGUUUGAAGUCUUCAUUCCAAACAUGAGCAAACGGAGGCUGAGGAUUCUGUGUGUGGGGUACAGAUCACGUGGAAUCCCUUGUCAAGUUCUGAGGAAGGGGGAAUGGGAUUUAUUUCUCCCCUGCCUAAAUUUCUCCUGGUAGUCGCUGCUUUUAAAUAACGAAAUGGAACUGUAAACUAAUUUCUUAAAAGA